UACAGAGGGUGCGAGCGUUAUCCGGAAUUACUGGGUUUAAAGGGUGCGUAGGCGGCCAUGUAAGUCAGGAGUGAAAGUUUGCGGCUCAACCGUAAAAUUGCUUUUGAUACUGCAUGGCUGGAAUCAGGAUGAGGUCAGCGGAAUGUGGCAUGUAGCGGUGAAAUGCAUAGAUAUGCCAUAGAACACCAAUUGCGAAGGCAGCUGGCUAGACCUGUAUUGACGCUGAGGCACGAAAGCGUGGGGAGCGAACAGG
rnacentral:rRNA from 1 species